UGUCAUCUUCGCUAUCCUUGAUUUGUUGUUUUCAUUGUGUUUGAUGUGUGGUCUUUAAACCGAAAAAAGUAGUGAUGCUGACAUGUCUUGCAUCAUAAUAUGUCAAGGGUUCAGUGUGACGUUGCUGUCUUAAUUUGAUGUUUCUUGUAAGCUGUCAUCUUAAAUAUGUCGUGGUUCGAUGCAUUAACUUACACAUCAGGUCUCGUUCUUAGAGGGUUAACACGAGAAGCUGGCCCAGAUAAGGUUCUGAGUGUCAAACCAGAAAAAUAUGGAAAUUGCAUAAUUCGUUGCCGAGAAGAUUCCAUUGUUCUCUAUGGACCAACUGAUGGGCAAUAUGAAAUUGUGUUGCAUCGUCCUUGCAGCGAAACAUUGAACGAAGCGUAUAGUCUCUAUAGAUCAAAUGACGUUAAUGCUGCAGAAAUUAGAUUUUUGGAAUUGAAGGAUAAGGUGCCACAUCUUAUUCAGAUAUCCAAGGAUUUGAGCAGCUUACAAGGCCUCCAGAAACUGUGUGAUGCCUUGAGAGAGAAUCCGUCGUGGUCUCUAGCCCAUCUUGCAGCACACUUUUCACUGAAUGAGUGUUUCGAGAAACCUUCUGUUUCGAGCGAGAUAAAUGUCCCCGAGACGAGUACUGGUAUGUCACCACUUCAAGUGGCUGUAAAGACGGGAAAUUUAAAAACGGUUCAGGCCCUUCUGACAUGCAGAGAUGUAAGCCUAGAGCAUUUAGACUAUGAGGCAAACUCUGUCUAUCAUUAUGCUGCAAAUACGUCAAAGGAAAUUAUACAGGCACUGAGUUCAGUUUGCGCUAAGAGCCUAAACCAACGUAAUAUAAAUGGCUACACACCUCUGCAUUUGGCAUGCCUGGCAGACAAACCAGACUGUGUUAAAGCUCUACUUCUAGCAGGUGCCGAUGUGAACAUUGCUGCCAAUAAAGGGUCUGAUACAGCAACGCCCCCUGGAAAUGUUGCUGAUUUUCUGCAGGGCAAUGCAAAUAAGUUGCAAGUGAAAGAGAUGAAAUAUGGUGGGACACCUCUCCAUUGGUCAAACUCUCGUGAGGUUAUUGAUGCUCUGGUUGAUAUGGGCUGCCACAUCAAUGCUCCUGACUUUGAGGGUCGAACUGCACUUCAGGUGGCCGUUAAGCGCCAGCGUCUGGAAUGUGUAGUGGCUCUCCUUGCUAGAGGUGUUAAUGUUGCAAUAUGUGACAAUAAUGGUGAUACUGCUCUGCACCUUGCUGUGCGUGCUGACUCUCUGCCCAUUGUCCAGGCUCUUCUUGCUUUUGAUGCACCUCUUAAUGCCAAGAAUAAUCAUCAAGAAACACCAAGACAUUGUGUAGCCAGAGGAACAACUGGUGACCGUAUACUGUGGUUGCUGCAUGCUGUAGGAGCAGAGCGAUGUUCACGUGAUAUGAAAGGUUGCCAUCGGGGAUGCUCAGCAACAUCGACUGAUCACCGUUUUGAUGGUAUUCCUCCUCCUCUUCCGUGUUCAUCUCAGACUCGUGUUGAACUGGACAGGUUGCUGGAUGCAGCUGCACUGUCAGGAACUCCAAAGAAGGGUUAUCGUCUGCUGUGCGUGGAUGGUGGUGGUAUUCGUGGCAUGAUACUCACUGCUGUACUUUUAGAACUUGAAAAAGAAUUGAAAAAACCAAUACUCUACUGUUUUGACUGGAUUGGUGGCACAUCUACAGGAGGAAUUCUUGCACUGGCACUAUCUUGUGGAAGAAGCUUGAAAGAAUGUUUAGCACUUUACCUGCGUAUGAAGGACACUGCCUUUAUGGGAAUUCGACCGUACAGUAGUGAACCUCUUGAAAACAUCCUAAAGGAAUGCCUAGGCACAAAUACUGUCAUGGCAGAUAUUACUCAUCCAAAACUCUUCAUUACGGGUGUUUUGGCAGAUAGAAAGCCAGUUGAUCUUCAUAUCUUCCGAAAUUAUGAGUCUCCAAGCAGUAUCCUGGGUGUUCAACAUACAGGCUUCUUCUUGGCUCCUCCAAUACCUGAAGAACAACUUGUGUGGAUGGCAGCACGUGCAACUGGAGCAGCACCAUCAUACUUUAGGUCAUUUGGAAGGUUCUUGGAUGGAGGAUUAAUUGCCAAUAAUCCUACUCUGGAUGCCAUGACUGAAAUACAUGAAUACAAUUUGGCACUAAGAGCAGUCGGGCGUGAAGAAGAAGUGAAAACACUCUCAGUUGUUGUAUCUGUGGGCACAGGUGUUGUCCCAGUUACACAGCUUAAGGAAGUAGAUGUAUUUCGUCCAGAGAGUCUUUGGGAUGCUGCAAAGUUGGCCUGUGGUAUUUCUGCUUUAGGAAUGCUACUUGUUGAUCAGUAUUUGUGCUUAUGAAGAAAACGAAAGAGAAUACAGAGCUCACUCGAAGAAGUCAAAACAGAAGAAUUGUAUGAUAAAUUUGAUUCAGAAUCGUCUGAUGAGUGCAAAAUGGAAACAUGAAACUGAUACAGAGAUGGAUGCUGAUGACAAUGAAAUAAGUUUUGAAAAUAACAAUUUCUACUUAGGAAAGACAAAUGAACAAAGAACCCUCCAUGAAGAAAUGUAAGAACACAACCUCAAAAUUCUAUCAUUUAUAUACCAAAUGCAAGAGGUGCAGCCAGAAUUGUGAAAUCGAUAUUAGAGUGCUUCCUUUUGUGUUUUGAUGAAGGCCACAGCCAGUGAUGGGCGCGUUGUCGACAGAGCCAGGGCUUGGUGUUCCAGCAUUGGUGUACCAUACUUCAGAUUCAGUCCACAACUAUCUGAAGAUAUAUCAAUGGAUGAAAAAAGUAAUGAGAAGUUGAUGAAU